rnacentral:rRNA from 1 species
AACGCGAAGAACCUUACCUGGGCUCGAAAUGGAGUGGACCGGAGUAGAAAUAUUCCUUCCCCGCAAGGGGCUGCUCUAUAGGUGCUGCAUGGCUGUCGUCAGCUCGUGUCGUGAGAUGUUGGGUUAAGUCCCGCAACGAGCGCAACCCUUAUUACCAGUUGCCAUCAUUAAGUUGGGCACUCAGGUGAGACCGCCUCGGAUAACGGGGAGGAAGGCGGGGAUGACGUCAAGUCCUCAUGGCCUUUAUGUCCAGGGCUACACACGUGCUACAAUGGCGGAUACAAAGGGUUGCGAACCCGCGAGGGGGAGCCAAUCCCAAAAAGUCCGCCCCAGUUCAGAUUGGAGUCUGCAACUCGACUCCAUGAAGCCGGAAUUGCUAGUAAUCGCGGAUCAGCACGCCGCGGUGAAUACGUUCCCGGGCCUUGUACACACCGGAGUA